AAAAUGACAUCGAAAAGAAGAGUAGCGAUGCGUUGUUUUUAAGAGAGUCUCUGGGUGGUGAAAAGAGGCAGCAGCGGAUAGUGAAACACAUCUUGGAGUCGGUUUUUUGAAUAGAGUAGGAAAACCCGGGAAAGCCCGUUAAAGCUGCGGUCAUUGUUUGAUGACCAGAUGAGGCUGUAUUUUUGUGAGAAAAUCAGCGAAAAAAGGUGGAACCACGUAAUUAACGUCCUUUGA
rnacentral:ncRNA from 1 species